GUGAGGAAUUUUGCGCAAUGGGGGAAACCCUGACGCAGCAACGCCGCGUGAGUGAAGAAGGCCUUCGGGUCGUAAAGCUCUGUCAAUCGGGAAGAAAGUGGUAUGAGGGAAUAUGGCAUAUUAUUGACGGUACCGAUGAAGGAAGCACCGGCUAACUCCGUGCCAGCAGCCGCGGUAAUACGGAGGGUGCGAGCGUUAUUCGGAAUUAUUGGGCGUAAAGGGCGCGCAGGCGGUUUUUUAAGUCUGAUGUGAAAGCCCCGGGCUUAACCCGGGAAGUGCAUUGGAAACUGGGAGACUUGAGUAUGGGAGAGGAAAGCGGAAUUCCUGGUGUAGAGGUGAAAUUCGUAGAUAUCAGGAGGAACACCGGUGGCGAAAGCGGCUUUCUGGACCAAUACUGACGCUGAGGUGCGAAGGCGUGGGGAGCAAACAGGAUUAGAUACCCGAGUAGUCC
rnacentral:rRNA from 1 species